CAGAGUUCACGCCCGAGAGGGUAGACCUCCCACCCUUGUGUAUCAUUACCUUGUUGCUUUGGCGCGCCGCCCUCGGGCCUCGCGCGCGCGCCAGAGGAUAACCAAACUGUUUUUAUCAACGUCGUCUGAGCACUAUACAAUAGUUA
rnacentral:rRNA from 1 species